GGUUACGGCCACACCUCCCCUGGGCACGCCCUGAUCUCGUCUGAUCUCGGAAGCUAAGCAGGGUCGGGCCCGGUUAGUACUUGGAGGGAGACCGCCUGGAAUACCAGGUGCUGUAAGCC
rnacentral:rRNA from 1 species